rnacentral:rRNA from 1 species
UCGGGGGGGGGGGUAACCCCGGAAACUGGGGAUAAUACCUCAUAGACCAGGGAUGCUGGAAUGCUUCCUGGUCCAAAGGUCCGCCGCCUCAGGAUGGGUCUGCGGCCGAUUAGGUUGUUGUUGGGGUAACGGCCCAACAAGCCUUUGAUCGGUACGGGUUGUGGGAGCAAGAGCCCGGAGAUGGAUUCUGAGACACGAAUCCAGGCCCUACGGGGCGCAGCAGGCGCGAAAACUUUACAAUGCGAGAAAUCGUGAUAAGGGAACCCCGAGUGCCCGUAAAUCCGGGCUGUCCACCAGUGUAAAUAACUGGUGAAGAAAGGGCCGGGCAAGACCGGUGCCAGCCGCCGCGGUAAUACCGGCGGCUCGAGUGGUGGCCGCUAUUACUGGGCUUAAAGCGUUCGUAGCUGGGCUGUUAAGUCCCCUGGGAAAUCCACCGGCUCAACCGAUGGGCGUUCAGGGGAUACUGGCAGCCUAGGGACCGGGAGAGGUGAGGGGUACUCCAGGGGUAGGAGUGAAAUCCUGUAAUCCUUGGGGGACCACCUGUGGCGAAGGCGUCUCACUAGAACGGCUCCGACAGUGAGGAACGAAAGCUGGGGGAGCAAACCGGAUUAGAUACCCGGGUAGUCCCAGCUGUAAACGAUGCGCGUUAGGUGUAUCGGUGACCACGAGUCACCGAGGUGCCGAAGAGAAAUCGUGAAACGUGCCGCCUGGGAAGUACGGUCGCAAGGCUGAAACUUAAAGGAAUUGGCGGGGGAGCAC